AACGAACGCUGGCGGCAGGCUUAACACAUGCAAGUCGAGCGCCCCGCAAGGGGAGCGGCGGACGGGUGAGUAACGCGUGGGAACAUACCCUUUUCUACGGAAUAACGCAGGGAAACUUGUGCUAAUACCGUAUGAGCCCUUCGGGGGAAAGAUUUAUCGGGAAAGGAUUGGCCCGCGUUGGAUUAGCUAGUUGGUGGGGUAAAGGCCUACCAAGGCGACGAUCCGUAGCUGGUCUGAGAGGAUGAUCAGCCACAUUGGGACUGAGACACGGCCCAAACUCCUACGGGAGGCAGCAGUGGGGAAUAUUGGACAAUGGGCGCAAGCCUGAUCCAGCCAUGCCGCGUGAGUGAUGAAGGUCUUAGGAUUGUAAAGCUCUUUCACCGGAGAAGAUAAUGACGGUAUCCGGAGAAGAAGCCCCGGCUAAUUUCGUGCCAGCCGCCGCAGUAACAC
rnacentral:rRNA from 1 species